rnacentral:rRNA from 1 species
GACGAACGCUGGCGGCGUGCCUAAUACAUGCAAGUCGAACGCAGUGGCGGACGGGUGAGUAACACGUGGGUAACUACCCCCCUCUCUGGGAUAACAGUUGGAAACGGCUGCUAAUACCGGAUAGUGGGGGAUGACUCGCGUCAUAUCAGCUGUGGGGUGGGGUAGUGGCCUACCAAGGCUACGACGGGUAGCCGGACUGGGAGGGGUACCGGCCACAUUGGGCGGUGAUACGGCCCAAAUUCCUACUGGAGGCAGCAGUGGGUAAUAUUGCACAAUGGGGGAAACCCUGAUGCAGCAACGCCGCGUGCGGGAUGACGGCCUUCGGGUUGUAAACCGCUUUCAGCCAUGACGCGGUAGUGGCAGAAGAAGCACCGGCUAACUACGUGCCAGCAGCCGCGGUAAUAC